AUUGAACGCUGGCGGCAGGCUUAACACAUGCAAGUCGAGCGGGGAAAUAUAGCUUGCUAUAUGACCUAGCGGCGGACGGGUGAGUAAUGCUUAGGAAUCUGCCUAUUAGUGGGGGACAACAUUUCGAAAGGGAUGCUAAUACCGCAUACGCCCUACGGGGGAAAGCAGGGGAUCAUUUGACCUUGCGCUAAUAGAUGAGCCUAAGUCGGAUUAGCUAGUUGGUGGGGUAAAGGCCUACCAAGGCGACGAUCUGUAGCGGGUCUGAGAGGAUGAUCCGCCACACUGGGACUGAGACACGGCCCAGACUCCUACGGGAGGCAGCAGUGGGGAAUAUUGGACAAUGGGGGGAACCCUGAUCCAGCCAUGCCGCGUGUGUGAAGAAGGCCUUUUGGUUGUAAAGCACUUUAAGCGAGGAGGAGGCUCCUGUAGAUAAUACCUACAGUGAGUGGGCGUUACUCGCAGAAUAAGCACCGGCUAACUCUGUGCCAGCCGCCGCGGUAA
rnacentral:rRNA from 1 species